rnacentral:lncRNA from 1 species
AUACAGAUCUAAUGUGGAAAUUGAUUAUGAGCCAGUUGGGUGUAAACUGAGUUGCAGCUUGAACUGGGUGGCACGGCCACACAGUGGCUAGCAUGGCUGUCUCACAGUGCUUGGGCCCUGGGUUCGACUCUGUCUGUGUGGAGUUUGUAUGUUCUCCCCAGGUUUGUGUAGGUUUCCUCCCUCAGUACAGAUACACUGGUGUGUGUGUUUGUGUCUAUGUGUGCCCUGUGGUGGACGGGCUCCUGUUGCUUGCUGGGAUAGGCUCUGGCUCUCCCGCAACCCUGUAAACAGAUGGACGGUAGUUUGAAUUUUUCCAAGUGGACAACAGCUGGACCAGUUUGAAUGCUGGCAUUGCUGUACAUCAGCUAUAACACUGUAGUAUCUCUGUGCCAGACCCUAUUAAAAGCUGGAGAACAAUUCUUUAUUUGGGAAUAUUCCGUUCACCACGAUAUAAAAAAAUGCUCAGAAGCGGAAUUCAAGACGUGGCAGUGGGCUGACGAGAUGGGGAUUGAGUUCAAUAACAGUACAGCGGCCUUCGCUCAGAGCUGAGCGGGACGCUGAGUUUGCGGUCACGGCGAGAGGCUGGGGGGACGCAGGCCGCCUGUCCCCCCAAAUCGAUCGGUACUGUCAGCCGCGAGGCAUCCGCACUCCUCGGCAUUCCAGUCCCGCGUGCGCUCGCGCGCCCUGCCGCGAGCCAAGGUCGCGCUCAUUGAUCCCAGCGCCGCCGCAACAUCCCAGGGCUCGCGGGCUUCCCGCCUCUUCCUGUGUUUUUAGAAGAAACAAUUACCAACAGAAGACUACACGAGUGAUGGAGAAAAUAUUUUACAAGGUGUUGGCGGAAUAUAUUGUAAAGUAGAUUUACCACAGAAAUAAUACACGUUUUCUACGCCGGACCGUAGAAGAACUGGAUAUUUUUUUCCGUCAAAAAAGACACCAUGGCGUCGUCUACCAAGGUGUAUCAUCAUCUGUCUGCCUGAGGGAUCGUGGAUGAAGAAAGGGGAACUGGGAUCUACCCGCCCAGUCGGGGGUCUGACUGGAUCACCUGUGGAAGCGAGCGCCCGGCCGCCUCGCGGGGAGCAGCGGGGCCCGCGAGAGCGGAAACAGUUAAACUCGUGGAGGGGAAUGUCUCUCUCGCUCGCUCUCUCAUCCUCGUCUCAAGAAAACGCCGGGGCAGUACGGAGCGCUGUCAGUGAGGAGCUGCUCAGCCCAGUUGUCAAAACGACGAGAGGGAGGGAGAGAGAGAAGGGAGGGGGACGGGAAAGGAGUGAAAGAGAGAGACGGAGGAAUUUUAAAGAGUAUCAGACCCGACAGAGCGAGCGAGCGAGCGAGGCAGCCGACUCGCGACACCCAAGCGGCGAGAUCGACGACGCGAAACGACGUCCAGUUAACAUGCAGCGUGUGCGGUCUGCUUCUGGUUCCUCUCCCGCUCACCGCUCUCCCCUUUUCUCCUCCCUCUCCCUCUCCACUCUCUAACACCCAGCGUUCCGAGUCGGCAACAGCAUUUCCGGACACUGCUAAUAAGAAACAACACUCACG